AAGGGGAUGGGGAGGGGGUGUGGGGUCAGGAAUGGGGAUGGGAUAUGGGGUCAGGAAUGGGGAGGGGAUGAGAUAUGGGGUCAGGGAUGGGGGCCUGGGGGUCUCUUUGGGGUCUUGGGGUCUCCUGGGGUCCAGGUUGGGAGGGGGGUCUUGGGGGUCUGGGGUCUCCUGGAGGUCUGGGGGAGUCUCUCUGGGGUCUCUUUGGGUUCACUUUAGAGUUUGGGGGUCACUUUGGGGUCCCUUUGGGGUCUGGGGAUCUCUCUGGGGUCUCUUUGGGUUCCUUUUGAGGUCUCUUUGGGGUCCCUUUAUGGUCCCUUUGGGGUCUCUUUGGGGUCUUUUUGGGGUCUGAGGGUUACUUUAGGGUCCCUUUGUGGUCUCUCUGGGGACCCUUUGGGGUCUGGGGAUCUCUCUGGAGUCUUUAUGGGGUCACUUUAGGGUCUGGGGGUUACUUUAGGGUCCCUUUAUGGUCCCUUUGGGGUCCCUUUGGGGUCUUUGGGGUCCCUUUGGGGUCCCUUUUGGGGUCUCUGGGAUCACUUUGGGGUCCCUUUGGGGUCUCUUUGGGGUCCCUUUGGGGUCCCUUUGGGGUCACUUUAGGGUCCCUAUGUGAUCCCUUUGGGGUCCCUUUGGGGUCUGGGGGUCACUUUAUGGUCCCUUUGUGGUCCCUUUGGGGUCUCUUUGGGGUCCCUUUGGGGUCUCUUUGGGGUCUCUGGGGUCUCUUUGGGGUCCCUUUUGGGGUCUCUGGGGUCCCUUUAGGGUCCCUUUGGGGCCCCUUUGGGGUCUCUUUGGGGUCCCUUUGGGGUCUCUGGGGUCACUUUAGGGUCCCUUUGGGGUCUCUCUGGGGUCCCUUUGGGGUCUCUGGGGUCCCUUUGGGGUCCCUUUGGGGUCUCUUUGGGGUCUCUGGGGUUCAUUUGGGGUCCCUUUAUGGUCCCUUUGGGGUCCCUUUAGGGUCUGGGGGUCCCUUUAUGGUCCCUUUGGGGUCUCUUUGGGGUCCCUUUGGGGUCUCUGGGGGGUCCCUCACCCACAGCCCUGCAGCCCCUCCCGUCGGGUUCAGCCUCGUAUCCCUGCGCACACUCGCACUUGAACGCCCCCUGCAGGUUGAUGCAGCGCUGCGCACAGCGCUCCCACUCCCAGCACUCGUCGAUG
rnacentral:lncRNA from 1 species